AAAAAAAAAAAAUCAUGUUUCAACUGAAAUGGAUAUUUAUUAUCUGCAAAAGUCCAUUUUGUUGCAUAUAUUGUUUAAAAUAAUUCUUAAGAAAUUGUUACCUUUCUAUUUCUAUGGAGAACUAACACCUUAAUACAAGUCUAGCCCCCUUUUCCAAGACACAACGUCCCCCACAAUGCCACUGAGUUUGUGUUUACCUGAAUACUUUCAAACGACAGCUGAUCCUUGAAUAACAUGGGUUUGAACUGCAUGAGUUCUCUUCUAUGAAGAUUUUCUUUACCUCUGCCAUCCCUGAGACAGCAAAACCAACCCCUCCUCAUCUUCCUCCUUCAAAGCCUACUCAACAUUUGAAGAUGAUGAAGACGAAGGCCUUCAUGAUGACUUCAUAUGACUUUCCCUUAAUAAAUAGUAAAUAUACUUUUCCUUCCUUAUGUUUUUUUAUACCAUUUUCUCUUCUCUAGCUUACUUUAUUGUGAGAACACAAUUUAUAAGCAUAUAAAAGGCAGUAUAGCAAGAUCCCAUCUCUAAAAACAAAUAUUAAAAAAAAAAUUAGCUUGGCAGAGGGGCAGGCACUUGUGGUCCCAGCUAACAGAGAGGCUGAGGUGGGAAGAUUCCUUGAGCCCAGAAGUCUGAGAUUGCAGUGAUGGCACCACUGCACUCCAGCCUAGGUGACCGUAUGUCUUCAUUGAUUAUUUCUGUUAUCAGUAAGGCAUCUAGUCAACAGCAGGCUAUUAGUGGUUAAGUUUUGGGGGAGUCAAAAUUAUACAUGAAUUUUCAACUGUUCAGAGGUCAGAGCCCCUAACUCCCAGAUUUUUCAAGGACUAUCUGUAUAUACAAUUGUAGCACUGCUGCUAUAAAUGUGCAGAUAUGUUUUAAAUGAUCUAAGGCUAACAAAAACAUAUUCAGCAGUUUUUUUAAUUUUAAGAAUAAUCUAUUCAGAAUGUGUAUCCCUGUGCAAUUAAUUACAAAUAGCUAAAAUCUUGCAAAAUAUUUAAUGUAUCAAAUCAGCAUGUGAUUUCAUUUAUAGAAAUAAAAGACUAGUUUUCUCCCUUCUUUUACCCAUGAACUUGGCUAAUUAAUUUUCUAUUUUUCCCUCAAACUUUUCUCAAAGGUGGGUAUGAAGGGAAAACUUGUUUUUGUGAUACUAGAGAGAAAUUGAUGAAGCCUGGGCACAACGUCAUUUGUCUCCCUGUCACAAAGUUGCAGGUGAGCUGGCCAUUCAUCACCUGGUACACAGCACACCUCAUCUUGACCAAAGAGCACCUUUCUUCAUCAGAGAAGCUGUGCUAUUGAGAG
rnacentral:lncRNA from 1 species